rnacentral:other from 1 species
GGUUGGCUGCGGGGUGCGUGAUACUUAUAUUUAUCCCGGAGGCCGAUGCUUUUCGCAUAGGGAGCUGUCCCUGCCUUUGGCCGUGGCCUUAGGUAUCACGGCACCCACCUGGUUACCAGGGCCCCAUGCGGAUAUUGCACUGUACACGGCUCGCGCGGCGCCCAC